CCUACGGGGAGCAGCAGUGAGGAAUAUUGGUCAAUGGGCGGAAGACUGAACCAGCCAAGUCGCGUGCAGGAUGACGGUCCUACGGGUUGUAAACUGCUUUUGUCCGGGAAUAACGCCCCUUACGUGUAGGGCGUUGCGUGUACCGUAUGAAUAAGCAUCGGCUAACUCCGUGCCAGCAGCCGCGGUAAUACGGAAGGUCCGGGCGUUAUCCGGAUUUAUUGGGUUUAAAGGGAGCGUAGGCCGCGUGUUAAGCGUGCUGUGAAAAGUCCGGGCUCAACCCCGGCCGUGCAGCGGAAACUGGCGGGAUUGAGUGGGCGGAAGGCAGGCGGAAUGCGUCGUGUAGCGGUGAAAUGCAUAGAUAUGGCGAAGAACCCCGAUUGCGAAGGCAGCAUGCUGCAGCGGAACUGACGCUGAGGCACGAAAGCGCGGGUAUCGAACAGGAUUAGAUACCCGUGUAGUC
rnacentral:rRNA from 1 species